rnacentral:misc_RNA from 1 species
GAUGAAGAACGCAGCGAAAUGCGAUACGUAAUGUGAAUUGCAGAAUUCAGUGAAUCAUCGUAUCUUUGAACGCAUAUUGCGCUCUCUGGUAUUCCGGAGAGCAUGCUUGUUUGAGUAUCAGUAAACACCUCAACUUCCAUAUCUUUUUUGAAAUGGGAGUUGGACUUGAGUGAUCCCAACGCUUUUCCUCACCGAAAAGUGGCGGGUUACUUGAAAUGCAGGUGCAGCUGGACUUUUCUCUGAGCUAUAAGCAUAUCUAUUUAGUCUGCCUAAAAAACAGAUUAUUACCUUUGCUGCAGCUAACAUAAAGGAGAUUAGUUCUUGUGCUGACUGAUGCAGGAUUCACAAAGACAGGCUUCGGCCGACUUUGUAAACUCGAUCUCAAAUCAAGUAAGACUACCCGCUGAACUUAAGCAUAUCAAUAAGCGGAGGA